AGUGCGUCACGGAAAAACUUCGAUUUAGAUAUAGAUUAUUGAAACAUACGGGUGCAUUUUUGUAAGCGACCACGUCAACUUGCCCGUUUCCGUGGCGCUUGAAGGGGUGCAAGACCACUGGAGAUAGCGUCUCCUCGCCUGCCGACGACGUUGCGAGGUGAGGCCGUUCUCGUCGGAGCGGCGUUGUUCGCGGAGCCGGAGAGAUGUCUAACGAUUUGCCAACCUCCUUCCCAAUGGUUCGAGCGAUCAAAAUAUCGUAUUCGGAGCUCAAGGAUAAGGAGCAGGAUUUGUCUGCCAAGAUCGAAGAAGGAUUCGGCCCGAGUGGGCUUGCCAUCAUCGCAAUCUCUGAUGUUCCCGGGUAUGCUCUGUUACGUCAAAAUCUUCUAUGUCUUUCAGGCAGAUUAGCAAGCCUACCUGAAGAUGCAAAGAAAGGUCUUGAAGACCCAGAUAGCAGAUACAAUCUAGGAUGGAGUUUUGGAAAAGAGAAGCUGAAAACAGGCAAGUAUGAUACCUUCAAAUGCUCUUUCUAUGCUAAUCCUGUUGUGGACAUACCUACAACUGAUUCUUCACUCUUGAAAAGGUACCCAUUAUACUGUCGACCAAAUAUAUGGCCAACCAAUGCUUUGCCUGAACUUGAACUAGCAUUCAAGUCUCUCAGCAAAUUGAUGCUGGAUGUUGGGCUUCUAUUGGCAUAUCACUGCAGUCGAUAUGUAUCAGAGGAUGCAAAAAUGUAUGGCAAUGAAGACCUUGAGCACAUAAUACAGCGUUCAAGAUGCCCCAAAGGUCGUUUGCUAUAUUACCUUCCAGUUCAACAGAGAAUAACCAAUCCUGAAGUUGUUUCCAGACACCAAUACUACAUUCCACGUGAAUUCAAGGAAGAUGCAUGCUCCAUGCCAUCAUGGUCUGACUGGCACACUGAUUUUUGUUGUCUCACAGGUCUUACUAGUGGCAUGUAUAUGAGAAAUAAUGAAAAGGUUACUUGCCCAGAUGGUGCUUCUGGCCUUUAUGUUAGAACGCGGAAUGAUCAAAUUGUCAAAGUUGUCUUUGGAGAAGAUGAAAUAGCAUAUCAAAUUGCUGAAACUGGAGAUGUACUAUCAAGAGGUCGUCUCUGUGCAACUCCGCAUUCUGUUCAGGCACCUACAGGAGAAAAGGCUUAUGGGGUUGGACGCUCAACUUUUGUCCUGUUUUUGCAACCUGACUGGUAUGUUCCAAUUUGGGAUGAGAUUCUUAAUUUUCCUGAAGAAAUACCUCAUCAUCUGAAGCUCAACUCAAAGUUAUCAAGCUGAUUGAAUGUUCAAGUGACAAAAUUAAGUUAAAUUAGGCUCUCGCUCAAGACAGUAAGCAAAUCGAACCUGAUGCUAAAAUUCAGGCUCAAAAACAAUAUGAAGCCCAGCUUGAUCAAGCUCAACUUGAUUACACGAGGUGGAGAAGGGGGAAGAUGAGGGAGAGGAGAGAAGACAGAACUGAAUGUAGAUUGGGUGAGAAGAGAGACAUGGCUGCAUCUGUUAAAAUCUAGGAGCAUAUAUGAUUAGUUCAAAUUCAGAUAUGAUCUCAGAUGAAAAGUUGACAUUUGGUGAAGAUGACCUGUAAUAUCUUUCUUUGAGAAUGCAGACGGAUGAGAGCCUGGCCAAAAAUCUAGGUGAGGGUGGGAUCGAACUCAUGUCUGUUGUAUCCUUACGAGAGAAUUUUCCAACUAAGUCAGUUGGCACCCUUGCAAGGAUGAUCUAUAAUAUCUAAAUUACUGACAGUAAAAGAUAGCGUACCCUUUGCUUAUACGCCAGGUUGUUACCAUAUUGUUGAUUUUCUUCAUUUGGAAUGAAAAGGCAUCAAUUCUUAUGCAUUUGCAUCUAUCAGCAUCAGACACCUUGCAUCCACACAGAAAUCCACAUCCAACUAUUGAAUCUUGCAGAGCGAUGUCUUUGAGAUUUGAACUCAGAGCGAACAUCGCAUGAAGCUUCUCUUCAGCAUUAGAGCCUGAGAUAUUGGCUGUGAUAGCACUAUACUUGCUGCUGGCAACAUGUUUCACUGUAUGAUAAAUAACAAAAAUGUAGCUUUGUGGGAUGAAUCUGCUUUAUCUUUCAUAACAGAUCUGUUGCUGAGAGAGUGGAUAUCCUUCGUGGAUAGCCUGAGUGCACGUCCUCGACCAUUGAUGCACUAGGGACUUUGGCCACCAAGGAUGCGGAAUGAUUUCGAAGAGUAGAAGUAUGUGUUUUCAACUAUUCUGGAAUUAGAUCGUGGGCGGCGUAUAUGUCAUGUUAAAGGGCAAGUCAAAUCCAGCGUAAGAGGUGGAAGGCAGGUCCCAGUCACACAUGUGGAAGUGGAGAUGGAACCCUAAACAACAUUUGCAGGAUGCCAUGUGAUUUGAUGCCGAUUCGGAUGGUGCCGCGUUGUUCUUGUGUCCCGUGAGAUGGUAAGGGACACUGCACCAAUUUGGCUUCAUGAAGGCAAAUAAAGCAUAAGGAUAAGGGGAAUCUAUACGGCGACCACCUGCUUUAAGACGCAGUAGCCUUCCCAGUGGCUUCGCCACGACUGCAGUCUUCAUUGGCAUGCGGUGCCUGAUUUAGGCGUGCAGCCAAGUCGGGCACGUGGCUAGAGGUUUCGAGGAGGUGGGACCCCAAGUGGAUGUCGCUGUCGGGAAAGCGUGGAGGUAGGAGCGAGGCACGCAUCUCGUAGGUCGGCAGCAGCGAGGGCGAGGGGACACGAUGUGGGAGGGGAUAAGGACGACACGUGGGGUGUCUCCGGGUUGCUCUACGCGCACACGGGACGCUCUUUCGUCCUUUUCCAUUGGCAUUUGGGGACCAAAUAACCCCACAUUUGACCGAAAUGGUCACUUUGAAUGAAGUUACAAAACUAUCCCUGAU